UAGAAAGCAAGUUUCUUGAAGAGUCACCUGCUGAACUCUACUAGCGUCAUCUCUACAGCCUUCAUAAUCCAGAGAAGUCACAGUAAUGUUUCAAUUCAAGUUUGUGGAACUCUGAGUUAUCACCUUCUUGUCAGAAGAACUGAGGUGUCUAACUUUAUCCUUGCUUACAUGUUAGGCUGAAAUGUCCAAUGCGGUGGAAGUACAUCAGCCAUGCUGAUGAAGCCAGCAUCUGUGGAAAUGAUGGAGCAUGAAAUGAGAAGAAAACAAA